UUUAAGGAGCACCUACUUGAAGCUCUUGUGCUCUGAUUACCACUUGAUGGAAACUUGCUUGUGGGGCUUCUAUGGAGGCUGGAUCUUUGAGCUUCAAUGAGGUCCUUUAAUGGUAAUUUUCCACCAUGGAGAUGCAACGAAAGACAAAGGAGAAGAGGUGAGAGGAGGCGCCAUCCACUAGGGAAUAAGCCAUGGAAGAAAGAGCUUCACCACCAAGAUGAGCCUUGGAUAAGAAGCUUGGAAGGAUGCUUCAAUGGAGGAAAAGAAAGAGGGAGAGAAAGAGAGAGGGGGGAGCACGAAAUUGAAGGAAUAAAAGAGGGAGAGAAGUGGAACUUUGAAGUAUGUCUCACAAGACUC
rnacentral:lncRNA from 1 species